AAUAGAUACCCUGGUAGUCCACCCCGUAAACGUUGGGAACUAGUUGUGGGGUCCUUUCCACGGAUUCCGUGACGCAGCUAACGCAUUAAGUUCCCCGCCUGGGGAGUACGGCCGCAAGGCUAAAACUCAAAGGAAUUGACGGGGACCCGCACAAGCGGCGGAGCAUGCGGAUUAAUUCGAUGCAACGCGAAGAACCUUACCAAGGCUUGACAUACACCAGAACACCCUAGAAAUAGGGGACUCUUUGGACACUGGUGAACAGGUGGUGCAUGGUUGUCGUCAGCUCGUGUCGUGAGAUGUUGGGUUAAGUCCCGCAACGAGCGCAACCCUCGUUCUAUGUUGCCAGCACGUAAUGGUGGGAACUCAUGGGAUACUGCCGGGGUCAACUCGGAGGAAGGUGGGAUGACGUCAAAUCAUCAUGCCCCUUAUGUCUUGGGCUUCACGCAUGCUACAAUGGCCGGUACAAAGGGCUGCAAUACCGUGAGGUGGAGCGAAUCCCAAAAACGCCGGUCCCAGUUCGGAUUGAGGUCUGCAACUCGACCUC
rnacentral:rRNA from 1 species